rnacentral:rRNA from 1 species
AUCCUGGCUCAGAUUGAACGCUGGCGGCGUGCUUAACACAUGCAAGUCGCGCGUGAAAGGACUUCGGUCCGAGUAAAGCGGCGCACGGGUGAGUAGCGCGUGGAUGAUCUACCCAUGAGUUAGGAAUAACGGCUGGAAACGGUCGCUAAUACCAAAUACGCUCCGAUUUCAACUUCGGGGGAAAGGUGGCCUCUGCUUGCAAGCUACUGCUCAUGGAUGAGUCCGCGUCCCAUUAGCUAGUUGGUGGGGUAACGGCCCACCAAGGCGACGAUGGGUAGCCGGUCUGAGAGGAUGACCGGCCACACUGGGACUGGAACACGGCCCAGACUCCUACGGGAGGCAGCAGUGGGGAAUAUUGCGCAAUGGGCGAAAGCCUGACGCAGCGACGCCGCGUGAGGGAUGAAGGUCCUCGGAUCGUAAACCUCUGUCAGGAGGGAAGAACCGCCACGGUGCUAAUCAGCCGUGGUCUGACGGUACCUCCAAAGGAAGCACCGGCUAACUCCGUGCCAGCAGCCGC